CCGGCUAGCAGCGGUCAAGGCGAAGCGGGCAAGGUGGUCCAGUCACAGUUCGCCGAGAUCCCCUCCCCAACCAACCGGCCGGCACAGCUGUUUCACCGCUCCCGUGAGCCCUGCGGAAGCGUUAUGGAACCGUGUGACGGAGCCUUUUCCACGUAAAGGGGCCGUGUGGGUGGCCUUCAGGAAGGGGCCGAGGGGUUGCCGCGCGCCCUGCGACGACGGCGUCCGGCUCCCGGCGUGGCCGAAGCGUGCGGCCUCAGGACGCGGCCGUUCACAGGAGACCCUGACCGAGAGACGGCAGCCUGGCGAUGGCAGGAACUUCCCAGAUGGCGAGGCGCCCUUCCUUGGCGCUCCACGUGGAUCCUCCCUGCCGGGCAUCCGAGAGCUAAGUCGAAGGCUAUGAAUUGCAGAGGGGCUGAAAGUGGGGUGUCAGGUCGGGACUCUGGACCUGGGAUUUUUAAGUCAGCUUUGGGGAUGGGGAGGUCCAGGCUGUGGCCCCUUAGGCCACGUGAAGGGAGAGCCUCACUUUUGUUCACAGUGCUGAGGUGUGCAGGACAGAGCAGUCCCAGGGCGUGUUGUAUCACUUGUCCGUCGUGCCUUCUGUGUCUUUUGUGCCUCUCCUGUUGUAUGUGCCUCGCCUUAUUUCUUCUGGGGGCUUACCAGAAACCCCGGCGUCGCUCGUACCAUCUCCGAUCUCUGGGCUCUUCAGCCCGAUGCCAUCGAAGCUUUGCCUCAGGAGCUCGCAGAGGCCUUGGAAUUGCAUCUGUUUUGGAAAGCAUCCGAUCGGAUGUCUUUUAGAG